CGCGUAGGCGGUCGAUCAAGUCGGUUGUGAAAGCCCUCGGCUCAACCGAGGAACUGCAUCCGAUACUGGUUGGCUAGAGUAUGGUAGGGGAGAGUGGAACUCCUGGUGGAGCGGUGAAAUGCGUAGAUAUCAGGAGGAACGCCGGUGGCGAAAGCGACUCUCUGGACCACAACUGACGCUGAGGCGCGAAAGCCAGGGGAGCAAACG
rnacentral:rRNA from 1 species